rnacentral:rRNA from 1 species
GACGAACGCUGGCGGCGUGCCUAAUACAUGCAAGUUGAGCGCUGAAGGUUGGUUCUUGUACCAACUGGAUGAGCAGCGAACGGGUGAGUAACGCGUGGGGAAUCUGCCUUUGAGCGGGGGACAACAUUUGGAAACGAAUGCUAAUACCGCAUAAAAACUUUAAACACAAGUUUUAAGUUUGAAAGAUGCAAUUGCAUCACUCAAAGAUGAUCCCGCGUUGUAUUAGCUAGUUGGUGAGGUAAAGGCUCACCAAGGCGAUGAUACAUAGCCGACCUGAGAGGGUGAUCGGCCACAUUGGGACUGAGACACGGCCCAAACUCCUACGGGAGGCAGCAGUAGGGAAUCUUCGGCAAUGGACGAAAGUCUGAACGAGCAACGCCGCGUGAGGGAAGAAGGUUGUCGGAUCGUAAAACUCUGUUGGUAGAGAAGAACGUUGGUGAGAGUGGAAAGCUCAGCAAGUGACGGUAACUACACAGAAAGGGACGGCUAACUACGUG